rnacentral:lncRNA from 1 species
GGCCUGGGGUUGGGGCCUCAGAGGCUGUGUCCGUCCAUGUGGGGUGCAGUACCCACACCUUUAUCAGAGGGGCUGCCCUGAUCACAGAGCCGGGUUUGAUGAGAGAGAAGAAAGGGAGUAGAGUGAAUUCUAGAACAGGGGUAAUGGCUCCAAGGGAAACGAGCGCUCAGGGUCCAGGCCUGCUGAGGAGGACUCCAUCCCUGUCCUUGAGGGAGGGUGGUUCGGGGCCAUUCGGUGGGUGUUCCGGAGUGUCUGACUGCUCACGCCUGCACUUCUGGGCAGCGCUCUGUGCAGGGACCCAUGUCAGAGUGGAGGCCUGACUUCCUGUGCAGGCCCCCAGGGUGGGGCCACAACGUCCCUGUGAGAAAGCCACCCUCCCAGGGAGGAAGGACCGAGCAGGCGGCCCGCUUGAGGCUGGCUGGACAGCCAACGGGCCACAUCAUUGUGUGAGGGACAGAGGGGAAGCUCCGCCUGGUCCCCCCAGAGGCCACGGAAGCAGCCGCGUGAGCCGAGAGGGGAACGCAAUGCUACCUGCCCUGCUGGGGUCCCGGAGCCCAGAGCAGGUGGGACCCAGGGAGGCUGAGGGAACCAGAACGGCCCCCACUCGCUGCGGACCCCACCUGGGCCACCCAGAAAGGUGUCCCUGGGCUGCAGUGGGCUCCAGGAGGACAGGACCUGGACGGCUGGGGUCAGUAACCCUUUGGGAGCAUCGCUUCAGCUCUGUGGGGCUCCGAGCAAGACUCUGGGUGGGAUGUAACAGAGGGCGUAAGUCAUCCGACAGAGCACUGGUCACCAGGAAGAGUGUGCCCUGCUUGGGGUGGCUGCACUGCCCCCCAACCCCUGAAUUGUCGUCACGACCGAGUUCUCCCUGCCCGACAACGGAGAAGUGAGACAAGAUCAGUUCUAGACGAAGCAAGGAGUGCGAUGGCCCGUCUUUCCAUCUCGAAUCACUGUCGCUUCGGGCGUCCCGGGCUGACACAGCGCAGCUACGAUACUCAGGCAUCCCCGUUCUGACAGAAAUCACAGCACACGUAGGACAGGCAGGAGUCUCUGUUUAUUAAACGUGUAUUUUCGGGGAGUAACUUAAAUGGAGUGACGUGUUUCUGGAGAGAGACCCUCUCGGGCCAUACGUGCUGGAAUGCGGCUCCGUCCAAGGCUCUGUGCGUUACCCUGGUGACGCGUGCACGGCAGCGCUUCCCGGGACGGCUUGCGGGACCAGCUUGCUGAGGAGGGCCUCCGCUGACUUAACAGGCUUGCUCUCACUGACCCCACAUGACCCAGCCCCCCAGCCCCCCCAGCGGGCGUCCCACAGCCUCGACCGAAGACCACAGGCAAACUUCAGACACCGGGGUGGGUGGUUUGCCUGGACUGCACCGUGAGGAGAUGGCGCUUUUGGCCGCCGUGGCACAUUGAGUCCAGCAGGGACAUGGGUUUGCUCUGUCCCACCUGGACCUGUGCCCGUCUGGGUAGAAGGUGGGGAUGCAGAGAACUCAUGGCCCCCACAGCUGCUGCAGGCCCACAUACCUGCUCACCUAAGCAAUGUCGGAAGCCGGCUGGGGAAACGGGGCAGGGUGGGAGCACUUGCUGGCUUUCUAGAGUCCCCUAGCAGAAGACCAAUACCCCGAGCAGGAAAAGCGACGAGCCACUAACAUAUCCAAGGGGUUUGUUGACCAGGAGUUGGGGAAAGGGAAGGAGAGAGAUUCUGAGAGGCGCCAGGAGGAGAGGGACUUUGGAGAGAAUGACCAAUCUCACCUGCUCCACAUUUUGCUCAGCAGGGGCCCUGGUGAGCAGAGUGUGGGACGUUGAGGGCGCGGGGAGAAUGGGUCGAGGACUAGGGAGGGCCCCACGGACACUUCCCAGUGCCAGGAGAUGGCAGGACUGUCUCCAGCA